UACGUAGGGAGCAAGCGUUGUUCGGAUUUACUGGGCGUAAAGGGCUCGUAGGCGGCCAACUAAGUCCGACGUGAAAUCCCCAGGCUUAACCUGGGAACUGCGUCGGAUACUGGAUGGCUUGAAUCCGGGAGAGGGAUGCGGAAUUCCAGGUGUAGCGGUGAAAUGCGUAGAUAUCUGGAGGAACACCGGUGGCGAAGGCGGCAUCCUGGACCGGCAUUGACGCUGAGGAGCGAAAGCCAGGGGAGCAAACGGG
rnacentral:rRNA from 1 species